rnacentral:lncRNA from 1 species
CUGCUUGUCAUCACUCCUGUCUCCGAUCCCGGCAUCUUUCUUUCUCGUCUAAAUUUUCAGACAACCUCUGUCCAAAAAAAAAAAAACAUCAUUUCAGAUCAGUAAAAAAACCUCAAAAUUCACACUUUAAAAUUCAAAAUACUUAGUGGCCUCAACUGAACUGUGUAAGACAGAAAGAAGGAAGUGGCUUUCCCUCUUUUUUUUAAUGGUGGCGAGAGAUCUUUAAAUUGUCUUAAAUUUUAGAAGAAAAAAAAAAACAAUAACUAAAUUGGAAACAGAAGAAUCCCAGUAAAUCUAGGGGACAAAAAAUCUAGACAAGAAUCCAGUAAAAAUAUAUAUAUAUAAUAUAAUAUCAAAAUAACUGCUAAAACUGAAGUAGGGAUCCUUGUUUUUAUGCCCACAGAUUUUUAGAUUUUUAUUUUUUCUCGUGUAGAUGGACAGAAAAAUUGGAUUGCAAGAAAUCAGAAAAGGCAACAAAUCAGGAUAAAGAAAUUCAUCAUAAAUUUCUUUUAUUUCCAAAAUUAAAAAGAAAAAAAAAUAAACAAACAUAAACUUACCGGUAAAUUAGGAGAAAUUAGGAGAAAGUAAAAGAGGAAGAAAUUUCACAAGGGGUGGAGGAAAUGAAGAGCUGCAAAGGGUAUAUUAAGUUAAUAAUUUAAUUCAAACACUUUUUUGUUUUUGUUUUUACAAAUAAUCUUUUUUAUUUUUUGAAUUUUUCCUUUCUCAUCCCUUCUCACUUACGGUGAGAAGGAGAGGGGGAGG